rnacentral:rRNA from 1 species
UUGAUCAUGGCUCAGGAUGAACGCUGGCGGCGUGCUUAACACAUGCAAGUCGAACGGGCUUAAGACUGAAGCUUGCUUUAGUCUUAAGUUAGUGGCGGACGGGUGAGUAACGCGUGGGCAACCUACCCUGUGCAGGGGGAUAGCAGCUGGAAACGGCUGAUAAAACCGCAUAAAACGGCAGUACCGCAUGGUACAACCGUCAAAUAUUCAUAGGCACAGGAUGGGCCCGCGUCUGAUUAGCUAGUUGGUGGGGCAACGGCCUACCAAGGCGACGAUCAGUAGCCGGCCUGAGAGGGUGAACGGCCACAUUGGGACUGAGACACGGCCCAAACUCCUACGGGAGGCAGCAGUGGGGAAUAUUGGACAAUGGGGGAAACCCUGAUCCAGCCGACGCCGCGUGAGUGAAGAAGUAUUUCGGUAUGUAAAGCUCUAUCAGCAGGGAAGAUGAUGACGGUACCUGACUAAGAAGCACCGGCUAAAUACGUGCCAGCCGCGGC